rnacentral:rRNA from 1 species
AACGAACGCUGGCGGCAUGCCUAACACAUGCAAGUCGAACGAAGUCUUCGGACUUAGUGGCGCACGGGUGCGUAACGCGUGGGAAUCUGCCCUUGGGUGCGGAAUAACUUCUCGAAAGGGAUGCUAAUACCGCAUAAUGUCGUAAGACCAAAGAUUUAUCGCCCAAGGAUGAGCCCGCGUAAAGAUUAGCUAGUUGGUGGGGUAAAAGCCUACCAAGGCGACGAUCUUUAGCUGGUCUGAGAGGAUGAUCAGCCACACUGGGACUGAGACACGGCCCAGACUCCUACGGGAGGGCAGCAGUGGGGAAGUAAUUGGACGAAUAGGCGGAAAGGACC